rnacentral:lncRNA from 1 species
UAUGUUAAAAGUAGAGGUAGUGAAAUAACAUUUUGUAGAUAUCCUUUUGUUAAAAUUCAUAUGAAAUAUUGCCUUUUAGAAAUGGAAUAAUCAAACCACCUCUUUGAGCAGUGCACAUUAUUUUAUUUGUGCUGGUUCAAGGAGGAAGAAAAAAGUACAAAGGGCUUUAUACCAAUAUGUUUAUAGUUAGGAGAGAUUAACCAUCAUCCUGUAUGUCUGUGUUUUGCUUUACUUAGUUGUGUAUAUAGUGUACAUAAAGGACAGAUGUCCAAAUUUACAUCUAGUCUUCCUAGAUGUUAAAGAGGUUGCCAAUGUAUGACAAAAGUAGUUAGAAAAUAAAUACAUUGUGAAUACUUUGUUAAAAUUCAUACGAAAAAUUGUUCUGAAAGCAACUGGAGGAGAUGAAAUUGUUAGAAUCCCCUCUAAGCAUUUCAGAUGCUUUAUUACACUUGCUUACUAGGUUGAUAGAGAUGAGAAGGGGAAGGGUUCUAGGCCCGUGUUCCUGUUUAGAAGACACUUUGAGAUUAUAGCCUUUGUGUGCAGUUUAUUCAAUACUACAUGUAUGUAUAGUAAACUAAAAUCCUUAUUUGAAACAUCUAGUCUUUCUAGAUGUUUAAAAGUGUACAACAUAUGCUAAAAGUAGAUAAUUAACACCUUUUAAGAUUUUUUUCUGUUAAUUCAUAGGAAUGGUCAUAUUUGGGGAAUGGGAUUGUUAAACUUGAGCCUUGGAGAGUAUGCUGACUGAUGACUGGGGUGGUGGGGGUUGGGGGGGACAGGGAAGGAAGCUCAGAGAAGGGUUCUGUGCUCAUGAGUCUUUAGAAAGCUUCAGAUUUUCUAACCAUUGUUCUGUUUGUGUGUUUGAGUUAAUAUUGCUGUGUAUUAAAGAAUAAACAAGUCCCAGUGUCCAAAGUAUAUUGAAAGUAGAAGUAGUAAAAUAAUUCCUUUAUAAAUGCCCUUUUGUGGGUUUUUAGGAAGGGCUAUGACUUCUGGGAGUGUCUAUGUUAAUCCACCUUUUGUAGCUAGAUGUAGUCCUGUAGUUAGUCACUGAAAUGCUGGAAGAGGGUUAAGAGGAAGGGUGAAGGGAAGGGCUCUUGGCUAUUAUCUCCAUAUCUAGACAGUUUUAGUUUAUAACCAUAGGUCUAUAUGUGCAUUUUUGUAAAGUUUCUGUUUAUUGUGGACAAGGUUCAUUCUUUAUCUUGCAACAUCUAUGUCCCAAGAUAACAUAUGAUAAAAAGUAGAGUUAGUGAGUUAACCAAUUUGUAAAUAAAUAUCUUUGUUACAAUGAUAUAAAACAGCAUCUUGGACAUGAAUUGUUAAAGUCUCAGAAAUGUAUGUCAGGACUUGUUCACUAGGUUGGCAGCAGAGGGGCAGAAGGAAAGUAUAAAGGGAGGGUUGUAUGCGAAUGUGUUCAUAUUUAUAUUUUGGUGAUAACCAUUGAUGUGGGUGCAUCUUUUGGCUGUAAUAUAAGCAAUUCAGUGGAAACAUACCUCCUUGCUAAUAUUUUAAUAGUUUGGAUAAUUAGUCCUCUUAGAGGCAUUAUACUUUAUGUACUCUGUUGCUUUAUGUGUCAUUUUUAAUUGAACAUAAGGGAAUGUAGUAUUUUAAUCAUAACUCUACCAAUAUCUUUAUCUUGAAGCCUGUUGCUAUUUUUGUCUUUUAUGUAAUUUUAUCGCUAAGAAAGGCAGGAUUACAUUUUUUUUCCUUCCAGAUCGAGUUGGUGUAGUAUAUUCUUGGUUAUCAAAAUAAAAUACUCAUAUAGCUUUGGGACUUUGAAAUGGUAAAUAUUCAUGAUGUGUGAAAAAGCAUGAUACAUAACUAUGAUCUUAAUUACAUAAAAAUGGAUGCUUCAUUGUGUAGAUACACAAACGAAAUCUAGAAGGACAUAUCAACCUGUAAACUGCUUGAUUAUGGAUGACUUUGUUUUUUGCUUCCUAUUUGCUUGUGUUUUUCAGUUUCCUAUUAUGCACAUGUUAACUUUUAAGAAAUAAAUUUUA